AAGUGUUUACUUUCUCAUCCAUUUAAUGAUUCUAGAUUUGAUGUGUUGCCAAGAGUUUGCUAGAUAGUGGCUUGCAAAAGUAUUCAUACCUUUUGAAUUUUCAUAUUUUACAACCGCAAAGUGUAUUUUAUAGAGAAUUUAAGAGAUAGACUGUGAAUAUUACUGCUGCUAGCUUUGUGUAGAGGAGUUUAAGGACUGUAUCGAGAGAGACGAACACAUCCGAGGUAAGUGCAAAAUCCCCAGUGUUUUUUUUUUUUUAGUUU